GAUGAAGAACGUAGCGAAAUGCGAUAAGUAAUGUGAAUUGCAGAAUUCAGUGAAUCAUCGAAUCUUUGAACGCACAUUGCGCCCGGCAGUACUCUGCCGGGCAUGCCUGUUCGAGCGUCAUUUCAACCCUCAAGCCCUGCUUGGUGUUGGGGCCCCACGGCUGCCGUGGGCCCUGAAAGGAAGUGGCGGGCUCGCUACAACUCCGAGCGUAGUAAUCCAUUAUCUCGCUUAGGGCGUUGGGCGGCGCUCCAGCCGUUAAAGAACCAUCUUUAACUCAAGGUUGACCUCGGAUCAGGUAGGAAUACCCGCUGAACUUAAGCAUAUCAAAGCGGAGGA
rnacentral:misc_RNA from 1 species